AGGGCUAUAGCUCAGUUGGUAGAGCACCUCGUUUACACAGGUCUACGGUUCGAGUCCGUAUAGCCCUA
rnacentral:tRNA from 4 species